rnacentral:misc_RNA from 1 species
GAAAUGCGAUAAGUAAUGUGAAUUGCAGAAUUCAGUGAAUCAUCGAAUCUUUGAACGCACCUUGCGCUCCUUGGUAUUCCGAGGAGCAUGCCUGUUUGAGUGUCAGUAAAUUCUCAACCCCUCUAGCUUUUGUGGCUGGUUCUGGGGCUUGGAUGUUGGAGGUUUUGCAGGCCUUUUAAUCUAGGUCAGCUCCUCUGAAAUGCAUUAGCGGAACCGUUUGCGAUCCGUCAUGGGUGUGAUAAUUAUCUAUGCCCAGUGGGUUGCUCUCUGUCUUGUUCAGCUUCCAACCAGUCCCAUUAUUGUGGACAAACUAUUAACUGAACAUUUGACCUCAAAUCAGGUAGGACUACCCGCUGAACUUAA